rnacentral:rRNA from 1 species
AAAUUGAAGAGUUUGAUCAUGGCUCAGAUUGAACGCUGGCGGCAGGCCUAACACAUGCAAGUCGAGCGGUAG